GGGGGUUUUCCGCCCCUGAACAAAGCACAACCAUCCAUACAGUCGGCGUGGAGGGUGAAUACAGCGAAAAGAUUCACGAGCAACCCGAAGCUCUGCAGCUUUAAGAAGUUUGCACACUUGAGCAGCUGGCAGCGAGCCACUUGGCCAACAUAAACAGCCCUAAUCCUUUUUCCAAGGAGCUUUCAACACUCAUCUCUCUGGCACAACGGCCACUGACUCACCCUCUCCCUCCUUCUCUCUCUCUCUAUCUCUCUCUCCCUCUCUGACAUUCCUGCCUGUUCCGAGGUCUGCAGGACCGUCACCAGGAGGCACUGUGGCCCUUGCUAUGCAAAGGCUGCUGGGUUCAUGCUGUUGGUCACCAUUCACUGCUAAGGCUGCUGAGCUCUGGAGCUGUUGGACAGCGGCCACGCGUUGAUCUCAUUUGGACGGGCUUUUGCCUGGGACGAGUCCAAACCCAAACAGCCGAGGGAAGGACCACAACAGGGUGUCUUAUUGAAAGAGGAUCCACAUGCUCGGGGCAAAUCGAAUUUAGUGCUCUGCUGUAGGAAGUGAUUGGCGAUGGAUUAGAUGGUAUUAGGUAACAAAAGACUUGAAUUAACUUGCUGUCAAAUCAAUAACAGUCUCCCUCUCCUCCUCUCUCCAUGGCCCACUCGUUCUGUGUGUAUUUUCCUUACAUACUGUCUACAUAUACAUAGAUAUAGAUAUGUAUGUACAUACAUAGCAGAGGUUCCUAACAUGCAAGAUGACAGUAACCCCUGGUUGCAGGGAUGGAGCUUUAACACACGUUAAUUUCCAUCUCACUGCUACUGUGACUUUAUUUUAAAAGUCACACUACAUCAAAUGAAUUCACU
ensembl:lncRNA